rnacentral:lncRNA from 1 species
CGCUUACCAUCAACAAAGAGUCAAAGUGGAGUAAAGAUGUUUUCAGAUAAGUAAAGUCUUCAGAAAGUAGUUUCUCUGCACUGAUUCUUGAGAUACUUGAGAGUGUGUUCCUCCAAAAUGAGGAAAUAAACAAGAAAUGGGGAAAUGCAAGAUCCAAGAAACAGGAUUUCCAACGCAGGAGAGGAGUGGAAGGACUAUCCAGAAGGACUGAGGGGAAAUGCCAGAGAGACACUGUGUAGCACAUCUAGGAAGCAUCCAGUCCAGAUGAGAGCAGGAACCCAGAGGGCUCCAGAAGUGUCUCCAGAAAAACUUGAAACAGAGAGCACUUGACAUGUUUGAACCUAAGUUCUCAGAGAAGACUCAGCCCUUAAGUGAAGUCUAGAGGAUGCUUGUCCUUGGAAGCCAGCCAUUGUGCUGCAAGAAAGACUGGGUUACACAGAGAGGCCCAUGUGGAGAGAAACUGAGGCCCCUAGCCAUCAGCCCCAGCUGAGCUCCCUGCCGACAUGGAGCAUCAACUUAUUAGCCAGAAAGAACAAAAAAAGAGGAAGGAAGACCAGUAAAGGAAAAGAUAUUGUCAGAAGAAUGGGAGUGGAAACGUUGGAUAAAGCACUAUCUCACACUGGAAAGGCUCAGAAGGAAGACACAAACCUCUAGGACCAGAGUGGGUGGAAUGAGAGAGAUAGAUGGUUUUAGAAAAGAUAACUAACGAGUCUCUGAUAACUCUCAUUUUCUGGGCCUUGGUGAACUUUGCCUAAGCUUCAACUAAAUGGAAAUAUAAAUAGCUGAGAAAGAAGCCAGUAGAUAGGAACUGACAUAAUGGACUGUAUUGACUCUCUGAGAGAUAUAAGGGACCUUCUUAAAAGCAUAAUAUUUUACCUGAUCAUUUGUCAGGCUUCCUCUGGGUGAGUGAGCUCCUUUGGGGAAGCAACUUACUCCUGAUACUUCUGAUGCCACCCCAGUGAAACAAUUUCUUGGGUUCAAAAUUAGUGUAUGACAAAGGUUCUCACCAAAGUCCUCCAUUCUCUCCUAAUACUUCAUCUCCUAAGAGAAGAGAAAUCUAGAGAACAGGAAAAAGACGACAUGAUCAAUGGAUAUAAAGAUCCCAAAGCAUAUAAGAAGCUGCCUUUGGUUGGAAACAUACCAGAUACAUCUAGCGACAUGACUAAAGUGGUUGAUCAUGGAAACCUAUGAAGAAGGAGGACACAGUGUUUUGGAAAAUAAUUAAUUCUGAGGUCAUAUUCCUAUAUAGGAGUUAAUGGAGUUAAUUUUGUGGAUGGGAGUUAAAUGAUUUCAAGGUAAUUCUGCAUAUGUAAUAGAAGUCUCGAAGUCUGAGCUGAUGAUCACGUUUUUCAGCGAGAACAUAAGAUGACUGAUCAUGUAGACAGUUUUUUCUGGCUCAGAGAAGACAUAGAACUAUGACUCAUGCUUUCAUUUAGACUAUGGCCUCCCCGUGGAUAAGAACAAUUCCAUACAAAUCCAUCUGUACCCAAGAGAGAGAAAAAUCUACAAAAAUGUCGAGUCGUUUUUUUCUUUCACUUUCCUGACAUUUAGUCAUUAUUUUAGGUAGGCAGAGGGGCUGGUGGCUAUUUGCUAUUAAAAUACUUUCAAUACACAAAUUCCCAUAAGUUGACUCAAGAUCUCAGUUCUGGGUUCCAGGUGACCGGCUGUUCAUGAAAAUUUACCAGUUCUAAAUCCUACCCAUCCUCUAAGAUUCAACUCAGGCUUUGCUUCCCCUUCAAGAUUGAGUCCAGCACCAAUCUUGACAAAUAUAAUCACAUCCUCUCUUUUCAUUCUCACUUCCAAAUCCCCAAAUAAAGGCCAAUUUUCUUGCUCUUCCCUGCACUCAAUUUACCAUUUCUGCCUCCAUUUCUGCCUACACUCUUUUCCCCACCUCUGUCCCUCUCUAAAUUCUACCUAUGCUCCAAGGCUUGGUUCAGGGAAUGGCUCUUCGAUGGGGCUUUCUCCAACAAUGUGUCAAACUAACCCCCUCAUUCUUCCAAAUGUCACAGCACUAUGUCAGCUGUACAGGUUAGCCCUCUGUUCUUCAUUUCCAGGUGUUCAUGUUUUGUCUCUUCAGAUUGACCGCAGAUGAAUCUGGAUUUUGAUAUCAGACAGAUAGCCCUCUUCUACUUAGUAGUUUUAUGACCUUGAGCAAACGAUGCCUCAGUUUCCACUCUAUAAAAUGUGGAUAAUGUAACACUUACCUCAGAAAGUUACAGUGAAAAUUGAUUAAAGGAACUGGCCACUAAAUGUUAGAUAUUAUUAACGUUAUACAGUGCCUAAUGCAGGGAUGUCUGGCUCAGUGUCACAGUAGUCUGGCCUCACAGUGCAAAAUGAAGCUCCUAACUAUGAUGACCUUUCUCUCCAGCAUCUCAUCUAAUCUAUGAACCUUCUGUAACCUUCUCAAAGCUCAUAGUGAAAGAAAGUCUCUUUAUAUACAUCACACCCACUUAUUUGUAUGUAAUACAGAUACCCAUAUACGUCUCCCUGCUUUCUGAAAUUAAAUGUUUAAAAUGAAAUUCAAGUCAUCAAACAAAAUGAAACUGGCUGGCUCCUGAGGAAUAUGGGCACAUCACUGUGGCAAUUCCUUGCACCUACUGCAAGUACCACUUGGGCAGCUUCCCGAGUUAUAAUCCUGGAGAUGUUGUGACUCUCCUUACCCAUCACACGGAGAUUGGAAACAUAAAUCUUUACUUGUUCAGGUCUGGCUUUAUUUGUAGGCAGCCUAGGAGAUGUGUAUUGCAGCUUCUGUCCAAAACACCUGCCUCGGUUGCCUGUGGAGGUGACUUACGUUAUUGCUAUGGGAGACUUACUCCUCUGGGAUAGGGCUGCAAGUAACUUUAUCAAAGAGGAACCACCUAUGGUGCUGUUAUGGACUAACUUGUGUCCCCCCAAAGUUCAUAUGUUGAAGCCCUAACAUCCAAUGUGCUAUAUUUGGAGAUAAGGACUUUAGAGAGUUAAUUAAGGUGAAAUGAGGUCACAAGAGUGGGGCCUAAUCUAAUAGGGCUGGUGUCCUUCUAAGAAGAGACAGACACCAGGGAUGCCUGUGCACAGAGAAAAUUUAGCCAUACAAGGACACUGAAAGAAGGUGGACUUCUGCAAGCUAAGGAAAAAGGCCUCUGGAAAAACCCUGCUGCCGGCACCUUCAUCUUGGACUUCCAGGCUCCAGAACUCUGAGAAAACAAAUUUUUGUUGUUUAACCCACCCAUUCUGUGGUAUGUAUUUUGUUAUGGCAGCCCUAGCUGACUCAUACAGGUGCAAAUCCCACAAAAUACAAAUUCUCCUUGUCAACAGGAAUGUCCCCAAAUAGACCAAUGAGUGAGACCCCUGAUAGUGACAAAGGAGAGCAGAAAAUAGAAGUGGGACUCAAAACAGGCCAGUUUAGCCAGAAAAAGGGUAGUGAGAGUAGAUGGGGAAGAAUGUUUCAGCAUAGAGUGCUACCAAGGGAAGGCAGGUAAGAACAUGGUGCUGGAGUGGGCAGCCCUGGGCAGCUCUGGCUGGGAGGCACUGUGGGGCUUCUGCAAUGACAGAGUCAGAGGCGGUAGGCUCCAGACACCCAUUUCUCUUCCAGCUUACCCUGGCCUUGGCAACGUGGUACCAAGCGACUAGAGUCCCACUGGGCUGCUUCCCCCUCACUGUGACUCUUACGUCCCAAAGUUCUUGUUACUGAAGCCCAAUUUCCAGGAACUGGCUCUGAUCUGAUUCAUGGGCUGCACAUAAGCUGCACAUUUCAGGUAAUUAACUGUGGUGACCGGAAGUGUUGUGUUGGCAUAUCUAUUCAGUGGGCUGUCUCUGCACACUUUGAGCCAUGCUCUCUGCCUUCUCUUGACAUUUUCAAGAAAAACACAGCCAGCAAUGCUUCUGGGGAUGAUGGGGUCAGGGCUUGUAGGGGUUGGGACUUAGAGAGCACGGGGCUCAGAUAAUUUUUUAACUGCUUUCAUUCCACCUCUGCAUUUCCAAGUGUACCUAAACAGCACCCAAGUACCUCUCCCACAGAAUAGUUCUGGUCUGGAGGUCCUGAGACCUGAGUUCAAAACAUAUCUGUAUGAAUGACUUCUAAGUCGACUGCUUUUUAACACCCUAAGUUACCAAUCUUGCAAGUCCCUGUUUCUUUCUUUAUAAAGCAUGAGAAAGUUAGGUGGUGAGGUGAACAGAGAGCACCAGACCAGAGUCUGGAAAUCUGCAUUCUGAGCCCUGUGCUUUAUGAGCUCUGUGGCCUUUGGCAUCCAUGCUCCUUUCCUCUCUAGGUCUCAAUUUCCUUUUCUGUAAAUAACGGGGAUAAACUUUACUAUCUAUAAAGUCCCUUCCUGUGCCAGAAUCCUGAGAGGCUAUGAAAAAAAAGGUUGAAGGCAAAACCAGACUGUGUGUGUGUGUGUGCGUGCGCGCGCAUGCACACACGUGCAUGCACAGCCCUGUAGCUCCACGAGCGGUAAAUGAGCAACGCAGGAUGUUCACUGAAACAGUAGAAUCCUUCUUGCUUGAUUUGCUUGACCAUGGGCAGCACUCACUGCUACAGCACCUCUACUCACACACUAAAUAAUGCCAACCAAGAAAACGUGUAACAUUAGAUUAAGAGAGAAAAUAUACAUGUGGAGUGGAGGAAAGCCCACUCAGAAAGGCUACUUGGAGUAGGUAGGCCCUAAACUGCGUAUGCCAGAAAAAAGAAAAGAAACCACCCCAUUCACCCCUCUGGGCUGCCCUGAAAUGCCAGGGCACCACACAGUCAUCCUGAGAACUCACAGCCACACAACGGGCUGCAUUCACUGCUUCUGAGUCUUCUGUCCUCCCGCGUGCUUUGGCGUUAAGAUACGAUGCACAUGCCAAUCCUGAAUUAGAGUCAACCUGACACAGCAUCCGCUGUAGAUUAAAUAAAAAUUCACUAGGUAAAAGCCAAAUGUGAUAAACUUUCCCACAACAAGAGGAUUUGGAAAAGUAUAUUAAAAUGGGGGAAAAAAAAAGAAAAAAGUCCUAGCCAAAACAAGGCCGCCAUUGAAAUUUACCAAGUGGCUCCUUUAAUUAAGGACUGUCUCCUUAAAUUACAUUCAUUUCUCUUACCCCUUUCAGGGCAGUCCAGGGUGAAUAAUAUGUUUGUUUCUGGCUGAAGAGGUGCCAAGUUUAAAGGUAGUUUUUGGUUAAUAAAACUGGUCUGAGCUAUCAGCCAGCAAUCCUGUCUCGUUUUAGAGACCAUGAGAAACUGGUUUAACUCUGAUCAAGAACGAGAGCACAUACUGAUCCACAGGAACUUUCAUUUGAAAGCAUAUUUAAAGCAAGUAAGAAAAAAGAGUAAAUGACAUUGAGAUCUGCUUUUCUGUUCCUGGAGGCUUCUCCUACCUGACGUAACACGGUACUAACGCAUGGCUCUCACUGCAGUCCAGGGCAACCUGCGCACGGCUUCCAGCCAGAGCAUUCUAGAAACUAAUUGGUUUUCUUUCCUACACAAGAACUAGCAGUAGCCUCUCAUUAUCUAUUAGGAAAAAAAAAGCCUCACUCUUGAUACUGAUAGUUAGAACCUCAAACAAUCAAUUGCUUUAUCUUCCCUGUCCCCAUUUCCCCGCCUCCUAGGUCAGCCCCACUUACUCUCAACGUGGCCCUUGGACGCCAGUUUGGAAAACAUUUCAUUGCUUCCACCAAUCUGGAUCCUAAUGAUUCCUACAAGGCCACUUUAAGGGCAGCUUGUUCCAUGAAUUCUUCAACAUUAACCUCUUCCUUCCCUCAAAAUUAUGAGGAUCUUGUUAGCCCUUUGAGGACUAAUCUGACUGGUUCUCGUUUUUCUCCAGCACCUAACCUAGAGUUAGACUCUCAAUGCGUUCCCCAAAUUUUCCAUAUGAAGAAAGAAAUUGAAGUUGGUUCUUAGAAGACCAGCGUGCUGUAUUUAACUUUCACUGUGGUCUAAAUUGACUUAACUCAGUGAUCUUCUCUCUUCUUUUCCUCAGAUGUGUGAUGUGGUCCCAAUCUCGUCUUCCGUGGGUACCUCUGAAGUUUGGUGCUGCAUUCAGAGGGCGAGGGGUGGAGCCAAACUGUGUUGGCUCGUCUUCCACAGCUUGGAAUUUCCUAGCUAUGUGACCCUGGGGAAGUUACUUAACUCCUCCAUGUUCUCAGUUUCUUCAUCACAGGCUCGUUGUGAAGGUUAAAUACAUCAAUACAUGUAAACUGCUUUGAACCUUGCCAGGUACACAAAAUGCCAAAUUAACAUCGACUGUUAUUAUGCUUCAGCCACAUUGGCCUCCUGUUACCUACAAUACACCAUACUCCUCUCUACCUCAGAACUUUCACACAUGUGACUCCUCUCUACCUGGAAUCUUCCUUGCUCAUUCUUUUCCUUCAGGUCCCAAGUUAAACGGCACUUUGUCAGGGAGGCCAUUCCUGACCCAUCCAAGUUCCAGGUUAAGUCUCUUCUAAUACGUUCCUGUAACUCCCUGCAUAUCAGCCCAAUACUAAUCACAUUUGCAAUUUCUUGUUCAAUGACCAUCUUUCAGGCUAGACUACACACUCCAAAGGUAAGAAGGGGAUGCAUUUGUCUUAUUCAUUCUUGGACACCCAACACCCAGCACAGAGAUUACAAAUAAAUAUUUACAGGGUAAAUGAACCAACGGACUGUAAAGAGGGAAUUGGAGAAGGUUCGUGGAGGUGACAGUCCCAGACUUUGGGACAAGGUUACAUCCAAUAAUAAAAUUAAAAGACACAAAAUAAAGUAGAUUAGAUUAGCCACCUGGAGACCAGACAGCAAAUGAGUGGUUAGGGAGAUGGAGAAACAUCUAAGGCCCAGACAGGUUCGCCAGGAUGUACUGGCCUUUAGCGUUAGUUCUGCAAAACAAGGGAGCAGAAAGCUCAGCGGUGCAUUGAAUAAUAUUUUUGCCACCUGUAAGAAAUCAUCAUGGCAUGUAUCCCCAAAGCCUCCCUCUCCAAAGGGAGCAGAGGAUCCAAGUUGCCUGGAUAAUGUUAGUAACGCCUCCUUUUGGUACAUGCCUGAAGAACAGUGGUUCUCCCAUGAUGUUGCUUUUGCUCACUUCUUUAUUUGGCUGAGGGUGGGAGGAGCCAAGUAGGUUAGCAACACAUGCCCAAGAAGGAGGAGAGAGGAAAAGAUGUGUUCAUGGCUAGCACACAGCCCCUUCCUUCCCCUAAUCCUCCUUCAGAGUAGAACAUAGCUCAGCAUUAAAUAUUAAAUAAGUGAACUUGCUCAGUGCUCCAAUCACCCACAGCACAGCUUCUACAACACACUCACACAUUUCGAAGCCUCCUAAUUAACCAGAGGAAGCUAGAACUUCAUGGCGUUGUAGACAGCUCUAACGAGCUUGUUUUACAGGAGUUAAAGAAAUGUGUUGAUUGGAAAGUCGGGAGCACUAACGAUAAAAGACAAUGGACCCAAUACAUGGAGGCCAUUCUGUCUGUCCUGGAAGGAGAAAGAAGUUAGGGAAGUAAAGUUGGUCUACUGGGAGACUGGUGCCUUUCUCCAGAAUGACAGCCUCAAAACUGACUUCAUCGAACUGUCUUUACAGACUCUUAUUUGGGCAGAUCAGGAAGGUCCCUACACCUGCGUUCUAGCUUUGGUUUCUCAGACUCUGCCAGGUGGGACAGGUCCUGAGGAGCGAUGGGACGAGGAGUGCAGGGAGAAAGGGAGCAGAGAGGCCUGUGACAGCCUUCAUGCCCGUGCAGAGAGGAGAGAAUCCGUCCCCCUUGUUUCUUCACAGUGGGAAAGAAGGGAGAAAGAUCUGCAAAUUAAUCCAUUGUGACAACCUUUGUGAAGAACCUCACUGUUUGAUCUUGAAAAGAUUUCAUAAUUCUUUUGAUGGCUUUGAGAAGAGAAGGGGUAAAAAGUUAACUUCCUUUUGGAUUCUCUUAUCAAGAGUAAAUAAAGUUCAACUUUGCAUGUUCUCUAGUUAGCAAGCUCCCCUUCCUGGGACCCAGAGAUCAAGUUUGUGAUUGAGAGAAUUCAAUAAACAUGAGGAAAUGUGACCCAUUUGGGAACAAAGAUCCCAAUGUGCUCAUCUCCAAAGGGAAUCUGACUCUCCCCUGAAACUGUCAUAAGCCUCGGCCAGAGAAAUAUUCCCACCUCUGCAGGCAGGCGCUGAGCAGUUGGGUGAGCCGGGCCUGACCCUAGGAUUGCAGUAUGCUUCCCUUUCCAAGAAAAUGACCUGGGCAGGAAGACGAGAUAAAUGAAGCCCCCGAUGAAUGAGCAAAGGGAAGUUAGCUGGCUUUCCAAACUGGGUUCUGCCAGUGUCCCUCUAAGUGACCUUGUCUAAAUUAUAUCUUCUUUCUAGGCCUCAGGUUCUCAUUCUGUACAAUGGGAUAACAACUUCACUCUUACCUUACUCACUGGUUCAGCAUUCAAGAUGCCAACAUUUCACCUGCCAUCAAGCUACACAGCUGCAAGCUACCAGCUUCUAAACAGAGGGCUCUGGCCUUCGGUCCCAGGUGGUACAGUAUCAAAUGACUGGUAUUUCCACUUGGUGCUUGCCUGAAAAAGGAAGUAAACUGGGGCUGGCGCCAUGGCGUAGUGGUUAAGUUCGUGCACUCUGCUUUGGUGGCCCACGGUUCACAAGUUCUGAUCCUGGGCAUGGACCUAGCACUGCUUAUCAAGCCACGCUGUGGCAGCAUCCCACAUAAAGCAGAGGAAGACUGGCACAGAUAUUAGCUCAGCCACAAUCUUCCUCAUGAAAAAAAGGAAGUAAACUUUUUAUUCAAAUAGCCUAUAAAAAGACAAAAUAUUUCCAAUAAAAACUGUAAAAAUCUUUUAAAUUUUAUCCUCG